rnacentral:rRNA from 1 species
GACGAACCGUCCAAACGUUAUUCGGAAUCACUGGGCUUAAAGGGCGCGUAGGCGGCCGAGCGGGUCACGGGUGAAAUCCUCCAGCUUAACUGGAGAACUGCCCUUGAUACCACUGCGGCUCGAGGAAGGAAGGGGUCAGUGGGAACUGUCGGUGGAGCGGUGAAAUGCGUUGAUAUCGACAGGAACGCCGGUGGCGAAAGCGCAUGACUGGUCCUUUUCUGACGCUGAGGCGCGAAAGCCAGGGGGAGCAAACGGGG